CCUACGGGGGGCAGCAGUGGGGAAUAUUGGGCAAUGGAGGAAACUCUGACCCAGCAACGCCGCGUGAAUGAUGAAGGUCUUCGGAUUGUAAAGUUCUUUUCUAAGGGAAGAAGAAAGUGACGGUACCUUAGGAAUAAGCCUCGGCUAACUACGUGCCAGCAGCCGCGGUAAUACGGAGGAUGCGAGCGUUAUCCGGAUUUAUUGGGUUUAAAGGGUGCGUAGGCGGAAUAUCAAGUCAGCGGUAAAAAUUCGGGGCUCAACCCCGUCGUGCCGUUGAAACUGAUGUUCUUGAGUGGGCGAGAAGUAUGCGGAAUGCGUGGUGUAGCGGUGAAAUGCAUAGAUAUCACGAAGAACUCCGAUUGCGAAGGCAGCUUACUAAACUGCCACUGACAUUGAUGCUCGAAAGUGUGGGUAUCAAACAGGAUUAGAUACCCUGGUAGUC
rnacentral:rRNA from 1 species